GGUAUUCAGCCGUUCAGAUUAUUGGGAAUCGUUCAAACGUACCUCGAUCUAAUAUAACAGAAUGAGGGUAUAUAUAAACAUUCUUCAGUGUUAAAUGUAUAACAGUACAAAGACACCAGAGUCAAGAUGAAAAAUGGAAAAUUUUGGGGAAGAGCAAAGAUGGACCUUACCAUUAUAAUCCUCGAGGUUUGAGAUGGUAUGAAGAUGUGGUUAUAUUGCAUAGCCCGAAAGAUGCCAUUGUUGUUACAGGGAGCAGACAUAACCCUGACAGCGAAUUCGAUAUAAUAAAUGGACAGACGAUGAUGAAGUUUACCAGUGGAUUCCAACAAAAUAACAGAGAAGCAUUAACCAUCUACAAAGCGCGACUGUGGAAAUGGCAUAUUUGUUCAUGCAAUUUGAGAUUUUCUUGUGAUGAAGCAUUUAAGAAAAAUAACAUAACAAACUUUAUAACUGUGAAAAAUAGAAACUGCAUUAUGAACAAUAGUUUUUACUGAUCUUUAUCUUAAACUGACAGGUAAUGCUUAAAGUGAUUCAAAAACUUUUGGGACCAGAAACAUUUUUGAAUAUAUGGGUUAUUUAUUGCUUGAAGUCAUUGAGUUGUAUAUAUUCAUUCUGUGUGUAUUUUGGAAGAGCUAGGACAUAUUUCAAUAGUCUUAUGAAUUAAUUUUAUACGACAGAGGAUUAAUUGUUACAUCAAUUGUCCAUAAUAGGUCAUUUUGAAAAUUGUAUGCAAGUGUCUUUAAUUGGAAUCAUUUUGAACUGAAAAUUAAAUAUUAC
rnacentral:misc_RNA from 1 species